rnacentral:lncRNA from 1 species
CGAAAAGUAAAACUGAAAAUAUUACAAGUUAAAACUUAAAAUAUUACAAGGGUGAAGCAGUUACAGUGUAUGAAUAACAUAAAUAUGAGCGAAAAUAGGAAAUAAUAAUAAGGUUUGUUAAGGUUUAAGAAAAGGUUUAUGGUUUAGAGGAAAUAACACGGUUAAAGUUUUAGGUUUGAAAUUUAGAGUUUGUGGCGAAAUUGUCAGGGUUUAGGAAAAAUCAGGGUAGUUAGUUAUGAAAAAAAAUGUGCAGAUCUAAAUAUAUGUAUAUAAAAAAAAAAUGAAUUAAAAAAAAAACAACGGCGUUGCUAGCGCAAAAUUGCGAUCAUCGCAACUGGAUCGGAUAACACAAAUGUCACGCCUCAUACACGUAUAUGUGAAAACGGCGUAUUGACACGAUCCGAUCCGAAAACAUAAUCAAAUUAUAACAUAAAAUAGAAAUAUAUAUAUAUUUAACACACUAGUUACAUAUUAUAAAUUAUAUAUUAUAUGAUCCAUAUGCAUUUUUAUUAACAACAAAAUUAUUAUUAUAUUAUAUUAUAUAUUAUGAGACAUGUAAAACUUAUAUAAAAACAAACACAUCAAAUACAUAAUACAAUGAACCAAAUUAUUAUACAUGUUAUACUUAUGUGCAUAAAAAAGCAAAACGGCGAUAUCCUGAUAUAUUUAACCAAACCGCAUGUAUCUGGAAUACAUAACACAGUCACACAUAUGAACAUGUAUUUGAAACACAGUAACAAAUAUAUCAACAAAAUAGAUAAAGUAUAUAUCAUAUAUAAACUAUUACCAAACUGUGUGUACGAUAGUAUAGAUCAGCCACUCUCAGUUUCUCUUUUUUGUUCUGUCUUUUUGCCUCCCUCUAUCAGUCAUGCUAGUAAAUAUAUAUAGGAACAAAUUAGGUUAAUGAUAAUGGGCCUAAGUUUAUUUUGAAACCCAAUAUUAAAUUAAAAACUGAAUAAAGUUAAAUAAUUAAAAUAGUUAAAAUUAAAAUAAAAACUAAU